UAUUUCGACAGGACGUUUAGACAGGAGAUAUUUUGACAGGAAGCUUUGUGAACAAACAUAUAGCUAACUUAAGUGUAAAGAAGGAAGGAUUUGGGUAGCUAGUGUUAAUCGGUAAAUUACCAGGCCGUAGUUUGGAUUCUUCAUUUGUUGGCUAAGAGACAAUCUGAGUUAAAAAACAAAAAUGGACGAAUCAGAGGAGAGAGACUUUGACAGUUUGGAGGAGUUUGACGAUUCCGAUUCGGGCAGCGACUUUGAAGCCCAGCUGAAGUCCGGGAAGAGGAGGCCUCUGAGAAUGCCUGCAGGAAUCCCGGU